rnacentral:rRNA from 1 species
UACGGGGGGGGCAAGCGUUGUUCGGAAUUACUGGGCGUAAAGGGCUCGUAGGCGGCCAACUAAGUCAGACGUGAAAUCCCUCGGCUUAACCGGGGAACUGCGUCUGAUACUGGAUGGCUUGAGGUUGGGAGAGGGAUGCGGAAUUCCUGGUGUAGCGGUGAAAUGCGCAGAUAUCAGGAGGAACACCAAUGGCGAAGGCAGCUCGCUGGAACGGUACUGACGCUGAGGCGCGAAAGCGUGGGGAGCAAACGGG